rnacentral:piRNA from 1 species
UAAUGUCCUAAUCAUUGGAGAGCUGC